rnacentral:misc_RNA from 1 species
GAUGAAGAACGUAGCGAAAUGCGAUAAGUAAUGUGAAUUGCAGAAUUCAGUGAAUCAUCGAAUCUUUGAACGCACAUUGCGCCCGCCAGUAUUCUGGCGGGCAUGCCUGUCUGAGCGUCAUUUCAACCCUCAUGCCCCUAGGGCGUGGUGUUGGGGAUCGGCCAAAGCCCGCGAGGGACGGCCGGCCCCUAAAUCUAGUGGCGGACCCGUCGUGGCCUCCUCUGCGAAGUAGUGAUAUUCCGCAUCGGAGAGCGACGAGCCCCUGCCGUUAAACCCCCAACUUUCCAAGGUUGACCUCAAAUCAGGUAGGACUACCCGCUGAACUUAAGCAUAUCAAUAAGCGGAGGA